rnacentral:misc_RNA from 1 species
AAAGUCGUAAUAAGGUCUCCGUUGGUGAACUAGCGGAGGGAUCAUUAUAGAGUUUACGCUCUAAACCUAAUGUGAACAUUUCCCUGUUUUAGCUGUUGCCUCGGCGGGCCGGGCCGGCGCCCUCGGCGCCGGACCCCCGCCGGUAGCACCAAACUCUUGAUUUAUAGCGGAAUUAUUACUCUGAGUACCAAUACAAAUAAGUAAAAACUUUCAACAACGGAUCUCUUGGUUCUG